rnacentral:rRNA from 1 species
UCGAGAAUAUUCCACAAUGGGCGAAAGCCUGAUGGAGCGACGCCGCGUGCAGGAAGAAGGCCUUCGGGUUGUAAACUUCUUUUCUACAGGAAGAACAAAUGACGGUACUGUAGGAAUAAGAAGCUGCAAACUACGUGCCAGCAGCCGCGGUAAUACGUAGGCUUCAAGCGUUAUCCGGAUUUAUUGGGCGUAAAGGGUGUGUAGGUGGUUUUGUGCGUCUCUUGUUAAAGCUCGCUGCUCAACGGCGAAAAUGCAGGGGAUACGGCAGAACUAGAGGGUGCGAGAGGUUUAUGGAACACAUGGUGUAGGGGUGACAUCCGUUGAUAUCAUGUGGAACACCAAAGGCGAAGGCAGUAAACUGGAGCAUUCCUGACACUGAAACACGAAAGCGUGGGGAGCAAAAAGG